rnacentral:tRNA from 5 species
GGGCCUGUAGCUCAGUUGGUUAGAGCGCACGCCUGAUAAGCGUGAGGUCGGUGGUUCGAGUCCACCCAGGCCCA